CACGAACUUGUUUAAGAACUACACAAUAAAUCCUCUCUUUAUCAUACACUAGCAUAGUUCUAGGGACUUCAUCACAGUAUAAGAGUUGAAGCAAGAUGUCACUUUGUGAUAAAUAAUAUCAGAAUAAUUAUUAUUCAAUAAUCAAUAAUUCAUAUACAAGGAUGAACUCAAUCGUCACACGAUUGAUGUUAGGACACAAUUUUCAACAACUCCCACUUGGACUAAAACUAAUCGGGGC
rnacentral:lncRNA from 1 species